GACGAACCGUGCGAACGUUAUUCGGAAUCACUGGGCUUAAAGCGUACGUAGGCGGCCGUGCAAGUUGGGUGUGAAAUCCCUCGGCUCAACCGAGGAAUUGCGCCCAAAACUGCGCGGCUCGAGGGAGGCAGAGGUGAGUGGAACUGAUGGUGGAGCGGUGAAAUGCGUUGAUAUCAUCAGGAACACCGGUGGCGAAGGCGGCUCACUGGGCCUCUACUGACGCUGAGGUACGAAAGCUAGGGGAGCAAACGGG
rnacentral:rRNA from 1 species